rnacentral:rRNA from 1 species
CACGCCGUAACCGGUGGGCACUAGGUGUGGGCAACAUUCCACGUUGUCCGUGCCGCAGCUAACGCAUUAAGUGCCCCGCCUGGGGAGUACGGCCGCAAGGCUAAAACACAAAGGAAUUGACGGGGGCCCGCACAAGCGGCGGAGCAUGUGGCUUAAUUCGACGCAACGCGAAGACCCUUACCAAGG